AUUCUACUCCCUCCGUUGCACAAUACAUGCCUUCUAUUUGUCAAAAUAUAUAUGUAUCUAGACAUGUUUUAGUAUAUAGGUACAUCCAUUUUUGGACAAAUGGAAGUCAAGUAUUUUGGAACGGGGGGAGUACACA
rfam:Triticum aestivum genome assembly, contig: Triticum_aestivum_CS42_TGACv1_scaffold_591812_7BS